GCUCUUUAAGUACAUCUUCUCCGCUAGAUCCCAGACUGUCAAAAAACUUAGCCAGUCGGACGACAAAACACAUAUCCUCUAGCUCUGCGGGGGCUUAGGCUUCCAGAAGAAAAACAAAAGUAGCUAACCCGCUCUUUAGUUGUCCGAGUCCGUUAGGAACUGGCAGUCGACUUGGUUCUAUUGCCAGGACGUCGCUUGUUCGAAUGCUGCAACUGGGCUGCCACCUUUUAGCC
rnacentral:lncRNA from 1 species